rnacentral:sRNA from 1 species
GCCAGGUGCAGUGGCACAUGCCUGUAAUCCCAGCAGCUUGGGAGGCUGAGGCAGGAGGAUUGCAAGCUCAAAGCCAGCUUCAGCAAAAGCCAGGUGCUAAGUAACUCAGUGAGACCCUGUCUCUA